rnacentral:lncRNA from 1 species
AUAAGGGCUACUGUACUGUGUUCCAGAAGAUAGAACAGAAAUGAACAACAGAAAGAGGAUCUCUCUCAGGCUCCUACAUGAAAAUUGAAGCCCACUGGAAAAGUGAAAAGAAUCUCUGCAAUAAAGGCAUAUCAGAGCACUGUGGUUGCCUAGGGAAAAGUUCAGACAGCCAGCAGGUGAAGAUUCUUAGAGAGGAAAAUGGAUUUACUAUUGUAAGUAAAGCUGCACUGUGGAGGCUGGUUUAUCUCUGCACUACUCACACUUCUGCUACUCUCAGUCUGUGA